AGAAAAUAAAACAUACAAAAGCCCAGCCUGGCCUUAGAAAUAAAAGUUUGGAGAGUCAGCCAAUUAAUUAAAUUAGAAGCCCAAAACACAUAUCAAAGCCUGAAUUUGAAUCAGAAUUGUAAUCCAGUUAAGUGGUGGAGUAGUGAAUCGUCAUUGCGGAUCGGAGUAGAUGGAAGAGAACCAUUGCUGGAACAUCACCGAGGCGAGAUGAGGGUUUGUAGUGUUAAUGGCUUGGAUCUUGUUUCGAAUUGUAGAGUCAAUGAGUCGAAGUAAAGUAUCCCCAGAGCUAAAUUUCUGUCGAUGAAGUCUAUGAUUUCGUUCCAUCCAUAUGGAGUAGAGGGAGCAUUGCCAGGCCAGAAGUGAGAGGCGUCUUUGUGAUUUUGGCUGGUGGAUAGUUUGUAUGUAGUUUACCGAGGCUUCCCAAGAAGUAAAAGCCAGUAUCCCACAUCUCUGCGUGAUUGAGGACCAGAUAGACCAGGAGAAACUGCAAUCAAAGAAGAUAUGAUCCCUAGUUUCUGGAUGCGAGUUUCAUAGUAGGCAGAUCGGACUAGUUUGAAGUCCCCAACUGAGAAGACGAUCUCGAGUAGGACAUCUAUUUAGUAUUAGUAGCCAGGUGAGAAAACAAUGCUUGGGGAUGCCUCCUUGAAUCCAAGCUGCCUUUCCCCAUGGAACUAUAGGCGAUUUCUCCCUGAGUAGACUAUAGAUCUGCCCCGUUGAGUAACGAUUGUGGACCUUACCUUCAAGUUUCCAUUCAUAGUAGUCUUCAUGCUCCCCGAGAGUAAUUGUGGUAAGGAAAAUGGAGAGAGCUACCUGAUUGUCUGUGCGGGCAUGAGGGAUUUGCCAUUGCCCACGCCUACAAAGUUGGCUUAGAGUCGUCUUCACAUGGAUUCCCAGCCGUUGAUUCCCAGUAGAGAAAAGGAAAUCCGAGAUUUUACCAAACGGUGACCAGUUGUCAGACCAAAACCUACAAAGCAAGUUGAAGCUAGUGAUGGUGAUGAAGCAUGCAAUGUUGUGAGAAGUUGAAUCAGUUGAGGAGGAAGAGCGGUUGAGGGUUACUACAAAAGGAGAAAGGUUAUCAAAGUGGAGAAGAUCUUUUUGUAUGGUGAGUCUGCAGAUUCAUUUGCGCGGUAUUGUUGGUUCAGGGUCAGAUGAAGAUGGUAUUCCUGGAAAGAAGGAAACCAUGUGAUGAUUGCUAGCUUGAGCUUUGCAAUAAGGGAGCUUAUGUUGUAGCAUAUAUAUCAGCCUCACACAUCAAACGUUCGAUAAGUUCCUUAAUAGUAACAGAACCAAAGACAAACCAAUAAUUUGGUAAAAUUCUUGACUGCGAAAAUCUUAAUGGUUGGCCACCAAAAAUCAACCAUAUUUCAUUUGGAUCGGCUAUAUACACAUGCCUACAUAGCAUUUGGUGAACCAAUUGACAAGACAAAGAACAUUGUUUAACACAUCAAGAUUGGGAUUUUACCAAUAAUGUGUCCAACU